UACGUAGGGGGCAAGCGUUGUCCGGAUUUAUUGGGCGUAAAGAGCGUGUAGGCGGCCAGAUAGGUCCGUUGUAAAAACUCGAGGCUCAACCUCGAGACGCCGAUGGAAACCAUCUGGCUAGAGUCCGGAAGAGGAGAGUGGAAUUCCUGGUGUAGCGGUGAAAUGCGCAGAUAUCAGGAAGAACACCCGUGGCUAAGGCGGCUCUCUAGUACGGUACUGACGCUGAGACGCGAAAGCGUGGGGAGCGAACAGG
rnacentral:rRNA from 1 species